GAAUUCACCAAGUGUUGGA
rnacentral:snRNA from 1 species